ensembl:lncRNA
GGACCAACGCUGGCUUACAGCCAUCUUCUGUACCUUUACAGAGCUGACUGGUUCCUGCCUGUGCCAGUGCACAGAUUCUUCUCAUACUGCUUUUUUUUUCUGGGCUCCAAGCUGUCUCUGUAAUCUGUUGUUGCAGCUGGAAUAGCUGGAGCAAGGGAAGGCCCUUGUUACCCUUGCUUUGCCUUUAAGGACAUACCUGCCAGCUCUUCUGUAGGGAGUUUCCUGCAGAAGGAGCUGCGCAGAGGCAGCACAUCUGACUAAUGGCUAUGAGAGACACCACCUGCAAGGGCUGUCACCAGGCAGCCUUGAAUCAGUCGUGAGAGUCUCAUUAGCUCCUGAUUCCUUAAUGGUAUCCAUCUACUUCUAUUACCAUCUAUUUUUGUAUCCCCUGUGCGACCGUCACCUUAAUAGGAACCCUCUGUCCGCAUGAAUGUGGUUAUUUUUCAUCCAUAUGGGAAUGUUUGCAUACACUUUUAACUCUAAAAGAUGAAAAUUUUAACAAAAAGAAAUCUGCUGCAAACAGAUGCUCAGUACCUUUUUCCCAAAAUAACCCCAACAUUUUGCCUCCCUUGAAGAAAAGAUCUUGAGAAACACUGCAAAAAUAUUUCUUCAAUACAUUUUUGGCUUGCCAGGUCUUGCCAGGUCUAGUUAUUCUAGCUGCUUAUCUCACUUAUGUAAUAUUUGAGUUUGUUGUUGUUGUUUCAUACUUUUAACUGCUUGCUUGUAGCGUUAUUUCUGGCCUUGGCUCAAUUUCUGCGGUUGCAGAUGGCUGCAGUCUGAGACAGUUUCUGUCUGAACCAGCUUACGAUGCCACACUGAGUCAGAGGAAAAUCAGAAAUGAGAGAGGGCACAGAUCACCUCUGCCUCAGCUGCGUAGGAGCACAACUGUACGGCAGGACCAAAGGUUGUCAAGUGGAACGGGCAUUGAGUCAUGACUGGCAGAGAUGACUUCGCUCUGAGUGGAGUCUUGGCAGCAAAAAAUCAACAAAGACUCUUGCAAAGUGUUCACCUGCCCUGAGGGAUGGAACGUCUUGGCAAGAUGUCUGCAUUACAAUUGGAAUAUUGUUCCUGCUGGGAGAAGACUUGAGAGAAUAUUUUUACUUCUCACCAGUUCCUGCUGUGCCUUGGCAUUUACAGUCCCUUUGGAGUAACACCAUCAGCAGUUUUCACCUCUGCCUUGCAGACUGGCUCAGCGGUGUGACAAGAGUAUUAGUUCAUCACCGAGCUGUGAGUAGCAUAGUUGAUUAGUUUUUAUCAUUCAGUGCUUUCAGCGUGUCACAGACAACUUUGUAACUUCCUUUACAGAUAGGGGAAAGUGAGUCACCAAGACAGUGUCCCUUAGGUCAGCUGUUAAGAAGUGAGAAGGAGAACCUGGCUGAAAUCUGGCUGGGAGAACCAUCGCCUGCAUUGCUAUUGAUUAUGGAAAAUCUGAGGCAUGAUUGCCACACUCCGCACUCCCCGUCUCCCUGCCUUGCAGAUCCAGUCUUCUGGAAGGUCUUUGCGAGUCGCUUGUUCCCUCCAGAACCUCCUACCAAUCUGCAGAACCUCAUUUGGAUCUAAAAUAGAGCUCCCUAUAUGACAAUCAGGCCAUCUGAAGCUGUGCUCAGCUGAAUGGCCCAGGUCCCUAAACAUGCCUGCAUUUCUCACGUGUGUAUUUCUUAAAGCAUGACAAGGUCCCCUCUUGCAUCCAAAAGUCUUCCAAGAAUUCAGUAUCAAGUAGCUCAUCUUGAUUAUUGGAUCACAACUGGUCCUGCAAGGUGAUGGUGAGGGAGCAAAGACAGAGGCUGCAGUGAAAGUGGAACAGAAGAGAAUUUACACCUGUCCCUUGCAUGACUUAGGGCGUUCUUGAACCAAGGCCUCUAUCCCCUUGAGCAGUCAAACAGAAACACAGCAGUAGCAGAACCGGUAGCGCAGUAACAGGGAAUGGCAAGAUGUGAGCUGUUAUUGCCCUCUGCUGACCGUUUGCUAUACAGUGCCAUCACUUCAAGUAUUUUCUGCAAACAAAGCUGCCAAGAAAGAUUUCUGAGAUCUGCAGUUAAUUGAAGGAACCUCUCUCUCUCUGUUUUUUUUUUUUUUCUUUUUCUUUUCACAAUGUUAGAUAUUUCCUUAGCUGAACCGAGGUUGCAGUUCAAUCAAAUACCAGUUUGGGGUAAGCAGGCCAGGAAGUAGUGACCUAUGGUAACUAAGAGGUUGGGCUAGGCAGUCACAUUUGUCUUCUGCUCUAUCAGCUUCCCCAAGGUCACACUGCAGUUUUGAGAGUAAGCCAGGAAGCAAAUCCCUUUUUUCUUGGUUCUCGUCCAGCACUUCACAGAGCUUUUCCUCUUGUUUAUGUUUCAGAAUUAUCUAACAAAUGGCUUGUAAACAUGUAUUUAAAUAUUCUAGUGAUGAACAAGGCAGAAAGGUCUUUUUUUUUUUUAUACUUUAAAAAAACUAUUUAAAGAUUUUUUUAAGCCUAUGAAUUGCUGCUGAAUUUCUGUUCACCAGGACUUCUGCUGUGUUAAAUUUACUCUUUGGAUUUUGCUCCUUUGGUAGCUGGGAGUGGGUAGCUGAAUAAAUUGGUGUUGUGUUUCA